AUGAUCUCCUGCCAUUUCAGCAGAUGGAGGAAUGGGGCCGGAGGUGAAAAUGGGCAGGAGGACUCGGGAGGCUCUCUGGUGGCAGCAGAGCCGGCGUGCUCGUGUUGGCCAUUUCUCAGCUGGGGAAUCCGCCACGGAGAGGUUCCCUUUAGCAAGAGAGGCAGAGGCUCCCUUUCUCAGGUCUUUCAGGGUGCUGUCUGCCUUCCUUCGAGACGUUUCCCCAGGAGGAUGGGCCAAGAGGAGCUCCGUCCGUGCCUCAUCCCGCCCCCGCCCCCAGCCCCAGCCCUCGACUCCCAGCCCCUGUCCAGUCAGGUGAGGCGCCCAGAGUACCUCGUGAGCAGCACCACCGCCUUGCUGACAGUGACUUGUGUGUCCCCAGGAACUCACGACGACGAUGUUGUGGAGGCCGGUGGGAGUGAGAAGACUGAGGCAAAGCCCCGGGCUGGGGGACAUGAGGACGAGGCGGCCCCAGUACCUGAGGUGGAGGUGGAGGAGGAGGCGGGCCAGCCCCGUGAAAAUGGCCAGGAGGAGUCCUUAGCCAUCGCCUGGGCUGAGCCGGAAGACGAGCCUGGCCCCAAGGUGGACGGGGUGGACGAUGAAAUCUGUGAGUAUUCUGGAGCCCGGCUCUGCUGAGGAGAAGUCCAGGUGUUGAGGAAAUGGGGGGGGGCCCGCGAGGGAGGCGGGGUGGGGGGCUCUCCUGCUCCUUUGGUUGCAGAGACACCCUGAUUCUGGGUUCCUCCUGGGAAUGAGGGUGAAGGAUGGGGUGAAAGAGACGGACUUCCCAAGAAGGGCCACCCCAGGUUCUAGGGUCCCUGGACGAAAGGAGGCUCUUUGUAUGGCGUGGGUAGGUGUCGGGG
rnacentral:lncRNA from 1 species